rnacentral:pre_miRNA from 1 species
AAAAGUGCUUACAGUGCAGGUAGCUUUUUAAGAUCUACUGCAAUGCAAGCACUUCUUAC